rnacentral:lncRNA from 10 species
AGUUUAUGCUAACAGUGUAAUUCAUGAUAAAGGCCUGUUUUUGUUUACCUGGAGUCCCAGCCCAUGCUGUAUCGGUUUGAUUCCAGGCAUGCAGGGGUUGCAUAGAGACUGAGUAGCCAAGGUCAGUCACGUGGGUGACUCAUACCUCCGUGACUGACUCCCUUCUCCUAACAAAAACCCUGGACACCAAGGGGCAGUUGGGUUUCCCUGCUAUGUUUUGUCACACAUCAUUGCUGGGAGAGUUCAGUGCUAUCCAAGUGACUCCCCCGGGAGAGGACAACUGGAAAUUUAUGCCUGGUGUCUUCCUGGACUCCGACCUAUGCACCUUUUUCCUUGGAUGAUUUUAACCUGUCUCCUUUUGCUGCAAUGAACCAUAACCAUGAGUAUAUCAGCUUUUCUAAUUUUUGUGAGUCCCUCAAGUGAAUUAUCAAACCUAAGGUAGUUUUGGGACCCCCAUCACAGAGAGUCAAACAGGGGCAGGGCAAGAAGAGCUGCUUUUCCUGGAAGGCUAAUGAGUCUGAACUUCGCCCUGGAGGUAAUCGUUAUAGUAACUCCAGGCUCUAACCUGGAGCUGACAUGAUAAGGUCAAAUGUACACCUCUAGAAGACUUCCGACUGCAGAGGGGAAUGGAUGGGGGAGCUGAGGGAGGAGAGCUGAAGCAGGAAGACCAUGGCCUGGAAAGAGAUGGCUGAACCAGUCCAGGAACCAUCCGAUUGCUCUUUUUUCUCUCCUUGAAGCCAUCCCCUUAGCCCUCUGCCCACAGUGAUCACUAACUGAUUGCUCCUCCUUAAAAGCCACCGAAAAGUGUGCUUGGCUGAUCUCCCUGACCUCAAUUUCUCUGCUGGCAGAAUCACAAGAAAGGCAUCAGCACCUUCUGUGAAAUGGGGAGCCAUGCAGAGGAGGUGCCCAGGUGGCGAGGAGUCCAUGUCAGCUGCCGUCAUCCACACCACAGAUCAGACAUGGCAAAGAGUGGCCAGGCCUUCUGAGUGAAGGUGAUCCAACCUGUCACCAAGCCUAAGGGCAAAUCCUGGCUGUGCUGUGAUGGCUCCAACAACCCCAAACAGCAGCGCAGAGGCUGCAGCCGCCCUCGGAGGCAACACUGGGAAACGCUCAUUAGCAGCCUUCCAUUGCUCACCCGCCCCAUCCCACCUCUGUGCAUCCCAGAUCAUCAGCGAAGUGCACAGCUGGCUUCCAUCCUCGGAGCCUUCCUCCUUCAUUUGCCUAUUCAACAGUUACAAAGGCCUGAGUUGCAAAGGGGCUUACAACCCAUUCCACCCAGAAGAAAGAGAACUGAGACUGAGCAAGACAGAGAAUAGGUGGAAGGGGAGAUGAAACCAAGCAAUCUCUAGAUCCCAAAUGGGGACCCUGAUGUAGCAAGAGCCUCUUUUAAAUCCUUUUCCAAUAGGGUAAUAUGGAAAAUAGUUGAAAGCACAAGCCAAGUGGGGCUGGAAUCCCAAAUGGGCCAUUUACUAGCUGUGUGACUGGACAAGUAAUUUCAUAUUUCUGGGCCUCGAUUUUUCUCAUCUGUAAAAUAGAAAAAAAAAAACCUAUGUCAUAACGUUGAUAAACAGAUUAGAUGAGCUAAGAUCUAAAAUGUCUUCUAUUCAGUAGGUGCUCAAUAAAUGUUAUCUAUUUUUACGAUUGAGUCUCUAAGUCUGGAGAUUAAGGAGGAAAGUUUCACAUGCUGGGUUCUGCAGGUAAUACAGUGAGACAUGGUUUCUGUACUCAUGCUCCUAACUUAGGUGGCAACAGCUGAGAGGAUAGUCUGAGGCUGUGCAGGGCUGAAAGCCUCCUGAGAGGUCAUCUGAUCCCCUAUUUUCAUGGGUGAGAAAACAGAGAUGUAAAACAACCUUCUCCCAAAGUCAACAGCAAGAUAGUGCCAAAGUCAACACUAGAACCCAGGGCUCCAGGCUUCUAUUGUUCUUUCCCCUCCAAUAAAAACCUAAUGACAGGAUGCCACAAGUCAGGACGUGAAUAAAAUUUCAAAUAACUUGCCAUAGAGAACACUGUGCCCUGUCCAGAUCCCUGUUCCCAGGCCAUGUACCAUCCCUUGGCUGCUUUGGGUGGUGGCUACCAGUGGCUCACAGCUGCCCUGUCCUCUGGAGAAUUGCCACCCCCACCGUCCCCACACCCAGCUGAUGAGGGAGAUUAUACCCAGUGCUGUGUUGGCAAAUGUUUAGCAGCCACUUUCUGGUGGGGUAGGAGGAGCCCUGGCUUGAGUAUUUGCCACUUUCCCUGGUGUAAAUAUUCCCACCAUGGCCGACUCCAAGCUCCCAGCAAGACAUCACCGAAGGUGGAGUUGUGGAGAGAUGCACAUAGCUCUCCAUCACAUAGUGUUUCCACCAUAAAGAUCCAAUAACCAAAAAUAACUGCAAGUGCACAGAUUUUUAAAACUGUAGUAAAAUAAUUAGGAAGUGAUGACUUUUGAAUAUGUAUUUCCAUUGUUUCAGCAUUAUUUACUUAAUUAUAACUUUACAUGAUUUAAUUGUUAAUAGUGGCUCACAACGUUCCUAAAAACGUGACCACCACAAGCUCGUAAGGGUCAGGUCCAACACAACACUGGUUUACCCCCACUCCCACCCUGCCAGCCUGAGGCCAGUGACUGAUGACAUGAGGAUACAAAAAGCUGGCUGUUCAUCUCAUCUAGGGGUGAGGAACAACUUGUGGUGUGAUUAAUAGCAGAGCUCCCAUGGAUCAGGCCCAGACUAGGAUUACCUGAAGCCACUUCCUCCCUCAGCUCCUCCCCCUCCCCAUCCUUCUGUUGCCACCUCCUUACAGGUAUUUCCAGAAAGGCACACCAAUAAACAGCAUGCACCCAAGGCCCCGUCUCAGGCUCUAUUUCUAAAAAACUCAACCUAAGCCAUGCACACUGGCUCACACCUGUAAUCUCAGCACGUUGGAAGGUCAAGGUGGGAGGAUCACUUGAGCCCAGGAGUUCAAGACCAGCCCAAGCAACACAGCAAGACGCCAUCUCUACAAAAAAUAAAAAAAUUAGCCAGGAGUGCUGGUGUGCGCCUGCAGUCCUCGCUAAUCAUGAGGCUGAGGCAGGAGGAUCACUUGAGCCCAAGAGUUUGAGGCUACAGUGAGCCAUGAUCACACCAUUGCACUCCAACCUGGGUGAUAGAGCAAGACCCUGUCUCCAAAAAAAACAACAAAAAAGAAAAGAACCCAAUCGAAAAUACUUGUACAGAGUGAAAAUUUAGGGAGAAAAUUUAGAAAAGAUCAUUGUGGCUUUGGAGGAAUCCCAGGAAGCUUUCUGCAGGAGGUGGGAUCCAAAGAGUGGGUAGGAUUUUGAUUUGGAAAUGAAAGCCAGGAACCCUCCAGACGGAGAGAGCAGUUUAAUCCAGGUGAAACCAACAACCAUGCAUUUGACAAGUCCGUCUGCCCAGCGGGGCGGGGUUUUCCUAGAGACAAGCCAUGAGCCCUGGGGACCACCCAUUAAGGACUGCCAAAGUUGGAGGAGGGGGCGUUUCCAUGGCUACGGUGUGAUUAAGAAAGAUGUGUGGCUCUCUGGCAAGGGCAGUAUGGUGUGCUAGUUUGCACUAGAAACAUCAUCUGUACCAAAACCUUUGGAGCCAGAAGGUCGUCUUUGGAUCAUUUACUGCCACUGAUGGAUGAAAGCUUUCAGUUGUAAAAGAGCCCACUGAGUCAAGGAAGACAUCUUCUUCUUCAGAGGCUGUUCAAUUCCCACAUGCAGUGAUGAGGAAGACUGGG